rnacentral:rRNA from 1 species
CCUACGGGAGGCUGCAGUGAGGAAUAUUGGUCAAUGGCCGGAAGGCUGAACCAGCCAUGCCGCGUGAAGGUCAGUGCCCUAUGGGCGUUAAACUUCUUUUGUGCGGGAGCAAUAAUGGUUACGUGUGGCCAGACGAGAGUACCGUACGAAUAAGCAUCGGCUAACUCCGUGCCAGCAGCCGCGGGAAUACGGGGGAUGCCAGCGUUAUCCGGGUUCACUGGGGGUAAAGGGAGCGGAGACGGCCCUGCAAGCCGGGGGUGAAAGCCCGGGGGCCAACCCCGGGCCUGCCCUUGGAACUGCAUGGCUGGAGUGCGGGAGGGGCAGGCGGAAUUCCUGGUGUAGCGGUGAAAUGCGUAGAUAUCAGGAGGAACACCGGCGGCGAAGGCGGCCUGCUGGACCGCGACUGACGUUGAGGCUCGAAAGCGUGGGGAGCGAACAGGAUUAGAUACCCCAGUAGUC